UAGAGACCCCUGUAGUCCUAGCCGUAAACUCUGCUUGCUAGUUGGUCGGAUUUAUCCGGCUGACGUAAGCUAACGCGUUAAGCAAGCCGCCUGGGGAGUACGGCCGCAAGGCUAAAACUCAAAGGAAUUGACGGGGGAGCGCACAACCAGUGGAGCAUGUGGUUUAAUCCGAGACGAAGCGAAGACCUUACCUAGAUUUGACAUGUACCUGCAUUCUCGCGGAAACGCAAGAAGCCUUCGAGGGUGGUACACAGGUGAUGCAUGGCUGUCGUCAGCUCGUGGCGUGAGUCGUCUGCUUAAGUGCAGGAACGAGCGCAACCCCUGCCGUGUGUUGCAUUUCACACGGGACUGCCCAUCUUCAAGAUGGGAGGAAGGAGGGGACGAAGUCAAGUCAGCACGUCCCUUACAUCUAGGGCCACACACAUCCUACAAUGGCAUCAACAACGGGUCGCAAUGGGGUAACCCGGAGCUAAUCCUUAUAAAUGGUGCCUCAGUUCAGAUUGCGGGCUGAAACUCGCCCGCAUGAAGUCGGAAUUGGUAGUAAUCGCAGAUCAGAUGGCUGCGGUGAAUACGUUCUCGCUCCUUGUACAACGUAAAUAUGCGCCUUCCGCGCAUGAUUUCUAACCGAAAGGUCCCCGAGCAAGUCGGGUGAAGCGAACGGACAGGCCUUUUCUCGUGAGAGAAAGGCUGAAGGGUCCCAGUAGCACUGCGUAGCUUGAAGCCAAGACGGCAGACCAAAGAAGCGACCCUGCGUACAAAAGGGGAAGCAUCUUGCUAUUCAAUCUUUGGUAUGUAAUUGGGCUCAAGAUAUGCAGACAUAUGAAGUCAUGUGUACGAAGGGAGAUCUGUAUUGAUCUCUAUUGAUCUCUAUUCAGAAUAGAGUAUGAUGAAAGUAAUAACAUCAAAUGUCUGUACAGAAGUCUGCAGAUACCAUAGUAUGCCUUUCCAUUUCAGGGAGGCAGAAGGGUAAAUUUCGCUUUAUUAUAGAAGCGGAACGUCGGCCAGGAUACGGGAAAACCGUGUGUCCGGUCGGGAGAGAAGCAAUACUCAGCAAUGAGAUGACUAUCUCAGAACACUGCCCGUCAAAUGAGUGAAGUUGGCAACGCCCGAAGUGGAUGUCUUUAACUCGCAAGAGGGAAGCGCUACUACGGCGAGGUCAAUGACAAGCGUUAAGUCGUCAGUCAAAAUAGAUUGAUAUAGCGACCUUUUCGAGUAAUUGAAAAGAAAAAAUUGGCUGAUAUCGGUGAAGUCUACGUGUUUGCGUAAAAACAUACAUAUGAGAAUACCGAGGGAAGCUCGAUGUCUAAUCACCGUCGUAGCCCCGUAGAGACUAAUAUAGAGGGUACCAGAUAAUCUGGAACUAAACUUCUAUUACACGCCGACGCCUUGUUUAAAAAACAAGGAUGAAGAUAUAGUCCAUGCCGGACGAAAGUCCCGGAAAAACAUGAACAAGGUAUCCCUACUGGAAGGUGGGGAUGGAUCACCUCCUU
rnacentral:rRNA from 1 species